rnacentral:rRNA from 1 species
GACGAACGCUGGCGGCGUGCUUAACACAUGCAAGUCGAACGGAAAGGCCCUGCUUUUGUGGUGUUCUCGAUUGGCGAACGGGUGAGUAACACGUGAGUAACCUGCCCUUGACUUUGGUAUAACUUCAGGAAACUGGGGCUAAUACCGGAUAGCAUCUCCUGCUGCAUGGUGGGGGUUGGAAAGUUUCGGCUGUUGGGGAUGGACUCGCGGCUUAUCAGCUUGUUGGUUGGGUAGUGGCUUACCAAGGCUUUGACGGGUAGCCGGCAUGAGAGGGUGAACGGGGACAUUGGGACUGAGAGACGGAGCAGACGCCAAUGGGAGGCAGCAGUCGGGAAUAUUGCACAAUGGGAGGGAGCCUGAGGAAGAAACGCCGCGUGCGGGAUGACGGCCUUUGGGUUGUGAAAAGCUGUAGGCUGUGACGAAGCGUGAGUGACGGUAAUGGGUAAAGAAGCACCGGCUAACUACGUG